rnacentral:rRNA from 1 species
UCGCUAGUAAUCGCAGAUCAGAAUGCUGCGGUGAAUACGUUCCCGGGUCUUGUACACACCGCCCGUCACACCAUGGGAGCCAGGAAUGCCCGAAGCCAGUGGCCUAACCGCAAGGGAGGAGCUGUCGAAGGCAGGCCCGGUAACUGGGGUGAAGUCGUAACAAGGUAUC